GAUGAAGAACGUAGCGAAAUGCGAUACGUAAUGUGAAUUGUAGAAUUCAGUGAAUCAUCGAAUCUUUGAACGCAUAUUGCGCUCUUUGGUAUUCCGAAGAGCAUGCUUGUUUGAGUAUCAGUAAACACCUCAACCUCUUCUUGAUUUUUCAAAAGGAGGGUGGACUUGAGCUAUCCCAACAACCUUUACCGGUCAGCGGGCGGCUUGAAAUGCAGGUGCAGCUGGACUUUUAUCUGAGCUAAAAGCAUAUCUAUUUAGUCCUCGUCAAACAGGAUUAUUACUUUUGCUGCAGCUAACAUAAAGGAUAAUUGUCCUCUUUGCUGACUGAUGCAGGAUUUUACGACACUUUAUGUGUUGUUCAACUCGAUCUCAAAUCAAGUAAGACUACCCGCUGAACUUAAGCAUAUCAAUAAGCGGAGGA
rnacentral:misc_RNA from 1 species